rnacentral:rRNA from 1 species
GAUGAACGCUGGCGGUAUGCUUAACACAUGCAAGUCGAACGGACUCUUCGGAGUUAGUGGCGGACGGGUGAGUAACGCGUGAGAAUCUGGCUUUGGGUUCGGGACAACCACUGGAAACGGUGGCUAAUACCGGAUGUGCCGAGAGGUAAAAGAGAAAUUGCCUGAAGAUGAGCUCGCGUCUGAUUAGCUAGUUGGUGAGGUAAAGGCUCACCAAGGCAGCGAUCAGUAGCUGGUCUGAGAGGAUGACCAGCCACACUGGGACUGAGACACGGCCCAGACUCCUACGGGAGGCAGCAGUGGGGAAUUUUCCGCAAUGGGCGAAAGCCUGACGGAGCAAUACCGCGUGGGGGAAGAAGGCUCUUGGGUUGUAAACCUCUUUUCUUAGGGAAGAACAAAAUGACGGUACCUAAGGAAUCAGCAUCGGCUAACUCCGUG